AAGUCGUAACAAGGUUUCCGUAGGUGAACCUGCGGAAGGAUCAUCAACAAUAGACCGUAAAUGGUCUGAUCUAUACGAUACUAGAAGGAUAGUGGAUAUAUUAUUAUGUCUGCUUGACUGACCGAUUCAUGGUCUGAACUUGACCGACCCCGAAGGAUUAGUGGUGUAUUUCCACGGAUCCAUAGGAGAGGUUAGGGUUUUAUAUUAAACUUGAUAGGGCGACAUGCCAUUGAACAGGGUAACAGACCAGUCUAGGUGUAAUGCCUCUGGUGUAAAAAUGAUUAAAACUUUCGGCAAUGGAUCUCUCGGCUCUCC
rnacentral:misc_RNA from 1 species